UACGGGGGGGGGCAAGCGUUGUUCGGAAUUACUGGGCGUAAAGGGCUCGUAGGCGGCCAACUAAGUCGGACGUGAAAUCCCCAGGCUCAACCUGGGAACUGCGUCCGAUACUGGAUGGCUUGAAUUCGGGAGAGGGAUGCAGAAUUCCAGGUGUAGCGGUGAAAUGCGUAGAUAUCUGGAGGAAUACCGGUGGCGAAGGCGGCAUCCUGGACCGACAUUGACGCUGAGGAGCGAAAGCGUGGGGAGCGAACAGG
rnacentral:rRNA from 1 species